rnacentral:lncRNA from 1 species
CACCCGUCCAGGUGGGGCUGCCUUGGUGUCAGAGAACCUGGCUCCACUGAGGAACAAAGUGAAAUUGAGGCUUGGAGAAAAUAAAGCAAGCCUUCUGUUCCAUAGGAGCCGUGUGGGUUUGAACAGGGCUCUUCUCUGAGCCUCGGUUUUCUCAUCUGUAAAGCAAGCUUUAUAAGAACUCUUAUAAGGUCUGUAACUUCUUAUAAGGCUUGUAAAGCAGGCCUCGUAACUCGCAGGGUGAUCGGAGGAUCACAGGUGCGAUGUACGUGAAAGCACAGCACAAACGGUCCCUCUGCCUCCUUUCUCCAGGGGCCUAAGUCUGGGUCCCUCUGGCAUCUGGCAUGUCUGCUUUCUGAGAGUCAAGCUUCAAUCUUGCCUUUAGCAGAGCGGGUCUCUGGUGUGUUCUGUAGGCUUUGCUGGAGAUGGUAUGGUCUUCUCAUUGGCUGAUGGUGUCCUUUCUCCAUGUUCUGUAGGCUCUGCUGGGGAUGGUGUGGUCUUCUCAUUGGCUGUCCUUUCUCCAUGUUCUGUAGACUCUGUUGGGGAUGUUGUGGUGUUCUCAUUGGCCAGUGGGGUCCUUUCUCCAUUUUCUGUAGGCUCUGCUGAGGAUGGUGUGGUGUCCUCAUUGACUGUCGUUUCUCCAACAUUCUAACACCAUCCCAAAUGUAACAGUGUGAGAAAUUGAGGUAAGACCUCUGGCAGAACUUCCCAUAGGGAUUAGCAGGUAGACACAAAUUGUGAGUGAGAGAUGUAUAAGAAGAAUGGAGGAUGGGUAGAGUAAGGAGAUGGGAAGCUUUCAUUUCGGUGAUAAAGUUGGAUGAGGGGAAUGGAUGAGAUGACCCAACCCUUAUGGUCACCCCACUGGGUCCCCCUCUUCACACAUUUAAAGCCAACUGGGGAUAGAUGAAAGGGGCCAUCCUGAAAGGAAAAGAUAUCUGCUUGGGGGUCCUGACAGGAGUAAACGAGGCAACUAGAUUGUGGUAGGGACUGACUAUGUUUAAGGACAGGGUGUGAGAGAAAACACCCCUAUCAGUGGACAGAUACACGCCUUAAUUCCAUGGAAAAACAACCUGAUGGAGACAGAGGAGAUGUCUCUGAUACCUAGCCAAAAGAGUGAAGGCCAAGAGAUCACCAAAGAGUGAAAGAGAUAGUGUCAUUACAUAACUGAGGUUUCUGGUCCCUGUUAGCUCAAGGCGGCAACCGGAACCUGGACCUAUUCCCAAUCACAAGAAACCACAGUCCACCUGCCUGCUGAUGGGCAGAAUCGGCCUGGGGAGCUUAGUCCUUGAAAGAAAUAUGGGCAGGACAAGAAGGGUGUGAGGGUAAUAGAGAAGCCCAAGUCUCUGAAAGGAAUUGAGAAUGAGGGGAGAGAAGGGGGCUGAAUGAUCAGGCCUGCACUCCACUGUCCCAAUCCCAUUACCUGAUCUCCUUGGCAGCAAUACCAGUAAUAGCUAUUGUUUAUUGGACACCUUCCCCGGCCCCAGGAUGUGGCUGGUGGCCUCACAGACAUUCUCUUUCUGGAUUCUCUUCUAUGGUGAUUGAUCUCCCAAUGCUCCAUAAGGCUCUUUAGAAGCGGUCAACUUCCCCUAUUUUACAUCUGAGAAAUUUACAUUUCACGGAGGAAAAGUGACCUGUACAUAGUCCCACAACAAUAGCAAUGGGCAACGUUUCUAGAGCUCUACAAUGAGACAGGCAGGUUCUACAAGUGAGGGCAUACAUUAACUUAUUUACUUUUCACAAGAACCUGUUGAGGUUGAGAACUAUCCUAUUCUCCAAACUUUAUAGAUGAAGAAACAAGGUUCUGAGUGGUUAAGUAAUCUUCUCAAGGACACCCAGCAAGUAAGAGGUCGAGACAGAAUCUGAACACACAUCCUGGGGUCCCGGGCCCAGAUCAUUGCUGGUUAAGACCACAGUGCACAGCCAAUAGGUCAGCCCAGUCUUUUAAAGAAGGAAAGACACUGACAUGUGUGGACUCCCUGAAAGGUGCUGUUCAUAUAUUUGUUUAUUUAAUCAAAUAAUUAUCUUACUGUUUUACAGGUGGGGAAAGGAGACGCAAAGAGGUUAAGUAAUUGGCAAAAUUAGACUUUUCACUGUGCCCCAGAUGUUUUUAAACAUGAUAAGGGAUGAAUGACUAUCUAUUGAGUGAAUAAAGGAGCUGGCAGCAAUGCAAAGGGCAUUUUCCACUGGCCUUAAAGAAUCAGAGGACAGGUUUGACAUCCAGGCUCGGUCCCUCAGCGGUUUUGCAUUCUUGCUCAGGUCUCUUAAGUGCUCUGAAGCUCCAUGUUCUCGACUGUAAAUAACCAUGAUGCUGACUGCACCAGCUUAAUGUGAGGAUUAAAGGAAGUAUGGACCAUGGAAGACUCUGGAGCACAGAAGCUAUUUAAAUGUUUGUUGAAUCCACAUUGUAGUCUCUGAAAUAAUCUCGUGCUUUGCCCUGUCCUUCUCCUGGUAGUAAGGGGAGCCUGAGCAGUAGCCCUACCCCCCUGCCUGCUCCAUCCACCUCUCACCUGCUGUGGCCACCUUCUUGAAAACAGCAGCCUCUGCAUUCCUGGGCCACUUUCUCUGCUGUGUUUUAAUAACACAGCACUCAUCACUUUCUGAUAUGUGAUAAAUACAAUUAAAUUUCCACAAUGGCAAGGCUUUUUUUGUUUGUUUGUUUUUUGAGAUGGAGUCUCACUCUGUCGCCAAGGCUGGAGUGCAGUGGUGCGAUCUGGGCUCACUGCAACCUCCACCUCCUGGGUUCAAGUGAUUUUCCUGCUUCAGCCUCCUGAGUAGCUGGGACUACAGGCACAUGCCACCACACCCAGCUAAUUUUUUGUAUUUUUAGUAGAGAUGGGGUUUCACUGUGUUAGCCAGGAUGGUCUCGAUCUCCUGACCUCAUGAUCUGCCCACCUCAGCCUCCCAAAGUGCUGGGAUUACAGGCAUGAGCCAUUGCAUCCGGCCGGGGUUUUUGUUGUUGUUGUUGUUGUUUGAGAUAGAGUCUUACUCUGCACCAGGCUGGAGUGCAGUGGCAUGGUCACAGCUCACUGCAGUCCUGACCUCCUGGGCUCAAGCAGUACCCCCACCUCAGCCUCCCUGUCAGCUGGGACUACAAAUGUGAGCCAGUAUGCCCCCUCCUCACCUUUUUUU